rnacentral:rRNA from 1 species
AUGGUGCUUUCCUACAGCACGAACCUUCGUUCCGCGCAGGACCAGCGAGCGAUGUGGGUGAUUCCUCUUCGGCGACUGUCUGGCCAACCAUGUCAAUCCGCUAGCAACCUUAGUCUCAAGUUAUGGCAGGAGAACAUUCAUAUUGAGUCUGUCCCGUCGCACAUCAAGUCUUUGUCUUUGUGUGAGCAACAAGGGAAUCAUAACGAGUUUGAUUUCCUUCGGUUCAUCGAGGAGAAUGCACUGAAACCAGAGAGGUUGUUCAUCGUCAUGAAAAAAGACCUAACCUACAGCGAGAGGCAAGUGGUGGUUGUUGUUAAACUGAUGGAUCUUAGUUAUGCUAAUUUGGCUAGUAGAGACUGCAAGUGCCUGCAUAUUUGGACGCCCCAGAUUUGUCUUAUGAUGAUCCCUUUUACUGCCUCUGUACUUAAACGUGCCUUGGUCGCCCAAGAUUUUGAUAGAACUGCAAGUGUUCUGUUUGCAGUAUCCAUUCCUGUACAUACUUCUCUUGUCUGGGCAGAGUUUUGUUGGAUAGAGUUCUAA